CCCUUAGAUGUCCUGGGCUGCACGCGCGCUACACUGAUGUGUCCAGUAAGCACCUAACCUAUUCCGAGAGGAGCGGGUAACCUUAGCAAAGCACAUCGUGAUGGGGAUAGAUUAUUGCAAUUAUUAGUCUUGAACGAGGAAUUCCUAGUAAGCACAAGUCAUCAGCUUGUGUUGAUUACGUCCCUGCCCUUUGUACACACCGCCCGUCGCUCCUACCGAUUGAAUGUUCCGGUGAGCUCUUCGGACUGCGCGGUCUGCAGUUUCUGCGUUCCGUGCGGAAAGUUGUGCAAACCUUAACAUUUAGAGGAAGGGGAAGUCGUAACA
rnacentral:rRNA from 1 species